GACGAACGCUGGCGGCGUGCUUAACACAUGCAAGUCGAACGAAGUGGCGAACGGGUGAGUAAUACGUGAGUAACCUGCCCUCCUUUUUGGGAUAAGCCUUGGAAACGGGGUCUAAUACCGGAUAAAGGGGGAUGGGCUCGCGGCCUAUCAGCUUGUUGGUGGGGUGAUGGCCUACCAAGGCGGUGACGGGUAGCCGGCCUGAGAGGGUGACCGGCAACAUUGGUACGGGGAUACGGCCCAGACUCCUACGGGGGGCAGAGGUGGGGGAUAUUGCAAAAUGGGCGAAGGCGUGAUGCAGCGACGCCGCGGGGGGGAUGAGGGUUUUGGGGUUGUAACCCUCUUUCGGUAUAGAACGGGUAGGUGGAGAAGAAGCGCCGGCUAACUACGUGCCAGCAGCCGCGGUAAUAC
rnacentral:rRNA from 1 species